rnacentral:tRNA from 1 species
CAAAUUAAAGCUAAAUAGCAUUAUUAUUUACAUUAAUAAAAUGAUUGUGUAAUUCAAUCUAAUUUGA